rnacentral:rRNA from 1 species
UACGGAGGGCGCAAGCGUUAUCCGGAUUUACUGGGCUUAAAGGGUGCGUAGGCGGAUAUGUAAGUCAGUGGUGAAAUCUCUAGGCUUAACCUGGAAAUUGCCGUUGAUACUAUAUAUCUUGAAUGUUGUGGAGGUAAGCAGAAUAUGUCAUGUAGCGGUGAAAUGCUUAGAUAUGACAUAGAAUACCUAUUGCGAAGGCAGCUUACUACGCAGAUAUUGACGCUCAUGCACGAAAGCGUGGGGAUCAAACAGG